rnacentral:rRNA from 1 species
AGAGUUUGAUCAUGGCUCAGGGUUAACGCUGGCGGUAUGUCUAAUACAUGCAAGUCGAGCGCCCACUUCGGUGGGAGCGGCGAACGGGUGAGUAACACGUUGGAACCUGCCUUGAACUCAGGGAUAACCCGCCGAAAGGCGCGGCUAAUACCGGAUAGUCCCGAAAGGGUAAAGAUUUUUCGGUUCAAGAGGGUCCUGCGGCCUAUCAGCUUGUUGGUGAGGUAAUGGCCCACCAAGGCUAUGACGGGUAGCUGGUCUGAGAGGAUGACCAGUCACAAUGGGACUGAGACACGGCCCAUACUCCUACGGGAGGCAGCAGUAAAGAAUCUUCCACAAUGGACGAAAGUCUGAUGGAGCAAUACCGCGUGAAGGAUGACGGUCGAAAGAUUGUAAACUUCUUUUCUGAGGGAAGAAUUCUGACGGUACCUCAGGAAUAAGCACCGGCUAACUCCGUGCCAGCAGCCGCGGUAAUACGGAGGGUGCAAGCGUUACCCGGAAUCAUUGGGCGUAAAGCGUCCGCAGGCGGUUUUUUAAGUCAAAUAUUAAAUCUCGUGGCCCAACCACGAGGCCGUGUUCGAAACUGAAAAACUAGAGUAUUUCAGAGGCAAGCGGAAUUCUGUGUGUAGGGGUAAAAUCCGUAGAUACACAGAGGAACACCAAAAGCGAAGGCAGCUUGCUGGGGAAUUACUGACGCUCAUGGACGAAAGCGUGGGGAGCGAACGGGAUUAGAUACCCCGGUAGUCCACGCCGUAAACGAUGGAUACUAGUUGUUGGAGGACUCGAACCCUUCAGUGACGACGCUAACGCAUUAAGUAUCCCGCCUGGGGAGUACGGUCGCAAGAUUAAAACUCAAAGGAAUUGACGG